AAGAAUUAGGAUCGAAUCAUAGCAAGGCUAAGGUUCCGAGAAGAGAAAGAUUGAUAAAAGUUAUGCAAGACAGGCCAGUUCCUCCUUUUCAAAGAUAAGAUCAGAAAUGAAAUGAAUAGUUUGUAUUUUGUAAUA